CUUAUUUAAAACAGAAAUAACAGAAACUAAUAUCAGCGCCUGUCAGGACAUCUGCUGACUACGUGACCUUUGGCCCUGUUUCUUGUGCCCUUCCCUCGACUAGUAGGAGCACUUUUGGACCAUGACAGCAAGGGUCAUGUAUGGAGAUUCCAUUCUUGCCCUCCACGUCAUCCCAUGAUCUCCGGAUUUGUCUGGACGGCUCUGUCAAAGUGGCCUGGUCAGCGAGUAUGAUCAGACUCUGCUGCAUGUCUGAUUCUAUUGCUGUUGUUGGUUGUUCUUGCUUGUCUGUUGUCCCAAGCUGUAGUGGAUGGUUCCCCUUAAUUAAAUCAUCUCUUCUUUGGUUGUUUUGGCUUACAUUAAGGGCAUCAUUGUUCAGUGUUGAUGAACUGAAUGCAGGACCAGGUGUAACACCAAAUGCAGAGGUAGAAACUUUCAAGGUUAAAUUUCGCUGGUAAAGAAGAUCAUUUGAAGCACAGAAGAUCAAUUGCACCGCUGAAUUGAGGUUCUUUAAUGGAAUGUGCAUUUGAGAAGUUUACAGCUCAAUUUUGGUUUGGGGGUAAAUUCAAAUGGACAAACAAUGCUUUAGAUUAUGUUGGUGGUGAAGGUUGUACAAUAGAAAUUGAUGCAAACCUGAUUUCUUGGUUUGAU